UACGGAGGGGGCUAGCGUUGUUCGGAAUUACUGGGCGUAAAGCGCGCGUAGGCGCUUAGCAAGUUAGAGGUGAAAGCCCGGAGCUCAACUCCGGAAUUGCCUUUAAAACUGCAAAGCUAGAAUCAUGGAGAGGUGAGUGGAAUUCCGAGUGUAGAGGUGAAAUUCGUAGAUAUUCGGAAAGAACACCAGUGGCGAAGGCGAACUCACUGGACAUGUAUU
rnacentral:rRNA from 1 species